AAUUAACAAACACGGAUCAUAUGUUUUGUACAGCUAUGCUUUAAAACUGCUUUUGAUCAGAGCCGCGACUACAACUGGAACGAUCUUAACUGUUGUAAAAGGAUUUUGGUAGCAUAUAAAUAUAUUAUUUGGAUUUCUGUAAAACAAAAGCCUUUUAUGAGAAUUCUCUAUUAAUAUUUAAAAAGCCUUCCGAAGUGCCUGCAUAUCAAUCAUCCAUUAAGAUCAGAUUAAAUUUCAAACCAUUAAAAGAGUAUAGCAAGCUGCAUCGUACUACUGGAACUUAGAUCUCAGCAUCAGUUGACUUCGUUAACCAAAAAGUUGCGAAUCAUUUGUCUGUAACUUUCAUCAUUGAGGAGGACGUCGGCAGUUCAGUUUUUAAGAGUAUGGAUAAGCAAUACAUUCAGCAUGCAAACCUCAAAAGGCAGGACGUGAUGUUGGAAAUAAACGUGGGCCCAGUAUAAGUGUUUCCAUAAAAAUUUGCUAUAUUAUUUUGAGUAUAAAACUAAUAAAAAAGAAAAAAUGUUUUGACAGAAUUUAACUGUACCUUAAUUUUUGAUUUCAAAUUACAGACAAAAAAAUCAGUUCAACUUAAACCAACAAA